rnacentral:tRNA from 1 species
GGGCGGGUAGCUCAGGUGGUUAGAGCGAUGGCCUUACAAGCCGUAGGUCAUAGGUUCGAGUCCUAUCCCGCCUACCA